rnacentral:rRNA from 1 species
AUUGAACGCUGGCGGCAGGCCUAACACAUGCAAGUCGAGCGAGCGGCGGACGGGUGCGUAAUGUAUGGGAACUGCCCGAUAGAGGGGGAUAACUACUGGAUACGGUAGCUAAUACCGCAUACUAUCGGAUAACCCAUAUGGGAUUAGCUAGUAGGUGAGGUAAUGGCUCACCUAGGCGACGAUCCCUAGCUGUUCUGAGAGGAUGAUCGGCCACACUGGGACUGAGACACGGCCCAGACUCCUACGGAGGCAGCAGUGGGGAAUAUUGGGCAAUGGGCGAAAGCCUGAUGCAGCAAUGCCGCGUGUAUGAAGAAGGCCCUAGGGUUGUAAAGUACUUUCAGUCGGGAGGCGGUACCUACAGAGGAAGCACCGGCUAACUCCGUGCCAGCCGCCGCGGUAAUAC